rnacentral:rRNA from 1 species
CCCAGACUCCUACGGGAGGCAGCAGUGGGGGAUAUUGCACAAUGGGGGGAACCCUGAUGCAGCGACGCCGCGUGGGUGAAGGAGUGCUUCGGCAUGUAAAGCCCUAUCGGCAGGGAAGAAGCAAGACGGUACCUGACUAAGAAGCCCCGGCUAACUACGUGCCAGCAGCCGCGGUAAUACGUAGGGGGCAAGCGUUAUCCGGAUUUACUGGGUGUAAAGGGGGCGCAGACGGCGAUGCAAGCCAGGAGUGAAAGCCCGGGGCCCAACCCCGGGACUGCUCUUGGAACUGCGUGGCUGGAGUGCAGGAGGGGCAGGCGGAAUUCCUAGUGUAGCGGUGAAAUGCGUAGAUAUUAGGAGGAACACCAGUGGCGAAGGCGGCCUACUGGACGGUGACUGACGCUGAGGCUCGAAAGCGUGGGGAGCAAACAGGAUUAGAUACCCCUGUAC